UAGCAGUUUAGAAGAUAUUUUCCUUUUAAUUUGAAUUUUUUUUUUGUUGUUUGGUUCAUUUUAUGGUUUUUUUUUUGUAGAUUUCAAAAAAAUAGAAAACAUAUUUUCUUAAUUUACUUUUUUUUGUUGGUUUUUUUAGCAUAGAUGAUGUUCUUUUUUUUUUUAGAAAUGUUUUUAGAAGACUCAUCCGAAGUGUUUUGUUAGUUUAAGGAGCAUCUGAUACCAACUGUGUAGUAGUUGCGUGUAUUAAUUUGGGAUUAAAUUUGAACACAUAAAAAUACAUCCCUGUUGCAGCUUAAUUCAAUGGUAUGUGAUUAUGAACAAUUGUUUGAAGCGGUUAACAAUAAAUAUGUUAGUGGACAAAGGAUUUGUAGCUAACUUGGGCACAUUGCUGUGUUAGUUAUAUGAUGGGUAAAGGGGUAAUUGUAUUAGGAUUAGAUGGCAUUAGCUGUUGUAAAACAUAAUUAGUAUUUGUAGUUGUGUAACAAGGAUGAUUGACAAUUGUAUCCAAAACAUGUUUAAACAUUCCCAAGCGCUAGCACAUCAUAACAAACAGACUUGAGAUUAUUACUUGCUUCUAUUUGAAAAUUUGGUAUUAAGAAUUGAGUGCCAUAAAGAUUUAUGAAAUAUGAAGAUUACAAAGAUCUGGGUUUGAAGACGUUUUCUUUUUAUGAUCAUGUGUAGUUUAAGAAGAUUAGAAUUUAGGUUUUGAGGUGAAAUUACUGAAAUACCCAUAUGGGUAAAUUUAAUGAUGUGGGAUGCUAGAGGGACCAAGGUUAUUACAUUUGGAAAUGUUUGGGGUAGGACAACAAGAUUUUUGUUUUACAGGGUAAGAGUGUUAGCGCGGUAAAACCCCAUGGGGUAAAAUUGCACUUUACUCUUUU
rnacentral:lncRNA from 1 species